AGUCAUAUGCUUGUCUCAAAGAUUAAGCCAUGCAUGUCUAAGUAUAAGCAAUCUAUACAGUGAAACUGCGAAUGGCUCAUUAAAUCAGUUAUCGUUUAUUUGAUAGUACCUUACUACUUGGAUAACCGUGGUAAUUCUAGAGCUAAUACAUGCUAAAAACCCCGACUUCGGAAGGGGUGUAUUUAUUAGAUAAAAACCAAUGCUCUUCGGGGCUCCUUGGUGAUUCAUAAUAACUUAACGAAUCGCAUGGCCUUGUGCCGGCGAUGGUUCAUUCAAAUUUCUGCCCUAUCAACUUUCGAUGGUAGGAUAGUGGCCUACCAUGGUUUCGACGGGUAACGGG
rnacentral:rRNA from 1 species